GCAGUGGGAGAAGUGAGGAAGUGAGAGAAACUAAGCUACAUCCUGCAAGACUGGACUGGAGGAAGUUUGAGCCUUCUCAGUGAACUUAAGCUUUUCUGCCACGAGGGACUGGUGGAAGAAGGUUAGGAAAAUCAUCAGUUCAGAAAAGAUUCCUCCAGAUGUGAAGUCUGAUGUCAGUCAGCUUCAGAGAAAUAGCAGCAGCUGAGCUGAGAACCUGCAAGCAAGUGUCAGACACUUCUUGCCAUGGCAUCACCAAAUCAGGCUUCCCUCAUCACCACAGAGGUGAGACAGCUCAACCCUUACUCCUCUCCUGUCUGAAACUCCAGCUGGAAGAGCAGCCCUUCCCUGCUUGAGUGAGUUGAACCCCCUCAGCAUUUGCUUCUAUGGCAUGCUGGUACUCCAACCCACAUGAUGAAAUCAGAUCCUCCUGAUUCCUGCUGACCUGCUCCAGCCCCUCGUAUUCCCCAUCUUCCUCUCAGUACCCUCCAUUCCCUACAUUGUAAAUACUUGCUGGAGGGGAAGAGAAGCAUAAUUUGUUCUUUUAUGUGGGAAAGGAAAUGAAGGCAAAGAGGGCUUUUUUUUGUUCUUUUAUCGUUGUUGUUAUUAUUAAAAGAGGGCUUGUUUGGUUUUUGGGGUUUUUUUUUUUUCAGUACAGACAAGUUCUAACCUGUAUAUGUGUGUGCUCUUAGGUACUCCUGAAAAUAAAACCACAUUUGCAUUACAUAUGCUUAAAAUAAAAAGAAAUUGCAUAUCA